AGACGAACCGUCCAAACGUUAUUCGGAAUUACUGGGCUUAAAGGGUGCGUAGGCGGCUCUGCAAGUUGGGUGUGAAAUCCCUCGGCUCAACCGAGGAAUGGCGCCCAAAACUGUGGAGCUCGAGGGAGACAGAGGUGAGUGGAACUUGUGGUGGAGCGGUGAAAUGCGUUGAUAUCACAAGGAACACCGGUGGCGAAAGCGGCUCACUGGGUCUCUUCUGACGCUGAGGCACGAAAGCUGGGGGAGCGAACGGGAUUAGAUACCCCGGUAGUCCCAGCUGUAAACGAUGAGCACUAGAUCGAAGGGUCCUCCAUAGCUUUUCGGUCGUAGCGAAAGUGUUAAGUGCUCCGCCUGGGGAGUAUGGUCGCAAGGCUGAA
rnacentral:rRNA from 1 species